GGACUACUGGGGUAUCUAAUCCUGUUCGCUCCCCACGCUUUCGCGCCUCAGCGUCAGUACUGGCCCAGAACACCGCCUUCGCCACUGGUGUUCCACCUGAUAUCUAAGCAUUUCACCGCUACACCAGGUAUUCCGUGUUCCCCUACCAGACUCAAGUCAUAGCAGUUCCGAGUGGCCGCCCCGAGUUGAGCUCGAGGGUUUCACACCCGGCUUACCAAACCGCCUACGCGCGCUUUACGCCCAAUAAAUCCGGACAACGCUCGCUCCCUACGUAUUACCGCGGCUGCUGGCAC
rnacentral:rRNA from 1 species